rnacentral:rRNA from 1 species
ACCAUCCUAAGGUAGCGAAAUUCCUUGUCGGGUAAGUUCCGACCUGCACGAAUGGCGUAACGACUUCCCCACUGUCUCGACCAGGAGCUCGGCGAAAUUGCAGUACGAGUAAAGAUGCUCGUUAAGCGCAGAAGGACGAAAAGACCCCGGGACCUUUACUAUACCUUGGUAUUGGCAUUCGGUGUGGAUUGUGUAGCAUAGGCGGGAGGCCGAGAGGCGCGGUCGCCAGAUCGCGCGGAGCCGUAAGGUGAAAUACCGCUCUGUUCGCAUUGGAUGUCUAACCUCGAACAGUCAUCCUGUUCAGGGACAGUGCCUGGCGGGUAGUUUAACUGGGGCGGUUGCCUCCCAAAGAGUAACGGAGGCGCCCAAAGGUCCGCUCAGCCCGGUUGGCAAUCGGGUGGCGAGUGCAAGUGCACAAGCGGGCUUGACUGCGAGGACGACGGUCCGAGCAGGGACGAAAGUCGGGACUAGUGAUCCGGUGCCGGUGUACGGACGCGGCAUCGCUCAACGGAUAAAAGGUACCCCGGGGAUAACAGGCUGAUCAUUCCCAAGAGUCCAUAUCGACGGGAUGGUUUGGCACCUCGAUGUCGGCUCGUCGCAUCCUGGGGCUGGAGCAGGUCCCAAGGGUUCGGCUGUUCGCCGAUUAAAGCGGCACGCGAGCUGGGUUCAGAACGUCGUGAGACAGUUUGGUCUCUAUCCUCUGCGCUCGUUGGAAUGCUGAGGAGGCCUGCCCAUAGUACGAGAGGACCUGGGUGGACGAACCUCUGGUAUGCCGGUUGUCACGCCAGUGGCACGGCCGGUUGGCUACGUUCGGAAGGGAUAACCGCUGAAAGCAUCUAAGCGGGAAGCCUGCUCCAAGAUAAGCAUUCCGUGGAACCUUCGAGUUCCUGUAGUCCCCAUGCAGAACACGUGGUCGAUAGGCCGGACGUGGAAGCCCCGCGAGGGGUGGAGCCGACCGGUACUAACGGACGAAAGGCA